rnacentral:tRNA from 2 species
GCGAGAGUGGUGGAAUGGUAGACACGCUAGAUUUAGGAUCUAGUGCCGCAAGGCGUGCGGGUUCAAAUCCCGCCUCUCGCA